GACGAACGCUGGCGGCGUGCUUAACACAUGCAAGUCGAACGGAAAGGCCCUGCUUUUGCGGGGUGCUCGAGUGGCGAACGGGUGAGUAACACGUGAGUAACCUGCCCUUGACUUUGGGAUAACUUCAGGAAACUGGGGCUAAUACCGGAUAGGAGCUCCUGCUGCAUGGUGGGGGUUGGAAAGUUUCGGCGGUUGGGGAUGGACUCGCGGCUUAUCAGCUUGUUGGUGGGGUAGUGGCUUACCAAGGCUUUGACGGGUAGCCGGCCUGAGAGGGUGACCGGCCACAUUGGGACUAAGAUACGGCCCAGACUCCUACGGGAGGCAGCAGUGGGGAAUAUUGCACAAUGGGCGGAAGCCUGAUGCAGCAACGCCGCGUGCGGGAUGACGGCCUUCGGGUUGUAAACCGCUUUCGCCUGUGACGAAGCGUGAGUGACGGUAAUGGGUAAAGAAGCACCGGCUAACUACGUG
rnacentral:rRNA from 1 species